UACAGAGGUCUCAAGCGUUGUUCGGAUUCAUUGGGCGUAAAGGGUGCGUAGGUGGCGAUGUAAGUCUGGUGUGAAAUCUCGGGGCUCAACCUCGAAAUUGCAUUGGAUACUGCGUUGCUUGAGGAUUGUAGAGGAGAGUGGAAUUCACGGUGUAGCAGUGAAAUGCGUAGAGAUCCGGAAGAACACCGGAGGCGAAGGCGGCUUGCUGGGCGUGAUCUGACGCUGAGGCGCGAAAGCGUGGGGAGCGAACAGG
rnacentral:rRNA from 1 species